rnacentral:tRNA from 1 species
AGAGUAUAGCUCAGUGGUAGAUAGCAUGCCUCACAUGCCUGAGGUCCUGGGUUCAAUCCCCAGUACCUCUA